UACAGAGAGACAGACAGGUUGUAAUAUACAGUACCACAGGACACAUCUACAGGGAGACAGACGGGUUGUAAUAUACAGUACCACAGGACACAUCUACAGAGAGACAGACGGGUUGUAAUAUACAGGACACAUCUACAGGGAGACAGACGGGUUGUAAUAUACAGGACACAUCUACAGAGAGACAGACAGGUUGUAAUAUACAGGACACAUCUACAGAGAGACAGACGGGUUGUAAUAUACA